rnacentral:lncRNA from 1 species
GCUGCACCUGCAUGAGAGCUGCGUGCUGUCCCUGAAAUUUGCUUACUGUAAAUGGUUUGUGAGUACUGGAAAAGAUAACCUCCUCAAUGCUUGGCGGACCCCCUAUGGAGCCAGCAUAUUCCAGUCCAAAGAGUCCUCGUCAGUGCUUAGCUGUGACAUCUCUGUGGAUGAUAAGUACAUAGUCACUGGCUCGGGGGACAAGAAGGCUACAGUCUAUGAAGUCAUCUACUGAAAACAUUAUGUGGUUUAACGUUUAUAGUUGAAUUGGGCCAAAAUGUUUCGAAUUUAUAGAAAUAGAAAAGUUGUAACUUUAAAAGAGAAAAAAAAUUACAAACACCUGUUUCCAAACCUUGACAGAAAACUACUUUGAGUCUACAAAGAGGAGGCGACAAGUCCAUCAGCAGAAAGUCACCUGUCUACAUAGACCAAAUGGAGCACCAAGGCCAAGCGGACAGAGGGGCCAUGGGUUGUAGGAUUGAGGAACGGAAUCUGCCGACUCACAUGACAGCCCAUUCUUUCUUUCUGGGUGAUCUGGGGAUCACGCCUUGCCCAAGUGUGAGAUUACCUUUCUGUUCCUUGCAGUUCACCUCACUUUCCGUCCUUUGUAGAGCAGUGGUGUCUCCAAUGAACUUGUUUCCUGGUUUUGCAUCUUGUGAAAUGUUUUUUUGUAUUUUUGUUGAAGGUUAAACAUUUGUAUAAAUUGUAAAUAUAUUUGGUUUAUUACAGUAAAGGCUUUAG